UUUUUUUUUUCAAAUUUAAGCUGAGAUAAUCUGUCUACUAAUGCCACAUUGAUAGUUUGCUCACCCAGUGAUUCAACAAAUGUUUAUCUAGUACCAGGCUUCGUGUUUGGAGUUGAAUAGAAAAUGUUAAAUGAAUCAGAAAUAUUUCUGCCCACAUGAAGGUUAUAGUUUAGGGCAGGGCAAGCUCUAGCCCUGAUGCCAAAUCUGACCCUUUGCCUAUUUUUGUAAAUAAAGUUUUAUUGGAACACAGCCAUGACCAUUGUUUACAAAAUAUCUCACUGCUCUCGCACUAUAGUGGCACAGUUGAGUGGUUGCAACAGAGACUGAAUGGUCUGCAAAACCUAAAAUCUUUACUACUGGGCCCUUUACAGAAGCAGUUUGCCAACCCUUGGUCUAGUGAAUAGUUGGAAUCUGUUUUCCCAUCUCAAGGAUCCACUUGUUUUUUUAUAAGCUGACUGACAAGUGUGUUUUUGAUUGAAAGGAGAGAAUCUAAUCUAAUGGGCUCAAGGAGAAAGGAGGAUUAUGAUAAAGUAUUUCCCCCAUGGAAUCCGUGGACAGGAAAUUAAAUACAGGCAUUACUCCUACAGCAUGAGCUUUUGCCAUACAAAUUGGCCAUAACUCGAGUCUAGUAAUUAAAGAAUAUAAUCUGCAUUACUGAGAACACUAUUGGUUACAACGAGAGCUUGACCAGGAACUAAUAACAUACUCAGCAGCUAGCGUAUAAGAAAAACUGUUGCCUGAGCGACACAAGAGCUUUGUUUCGGUAGUUUUGACUUUGUUUACCCUAAUAAUAGGUGAUAACAAAGGUAAAGGAGAUAAGGAUAUACCAAAUGUCCCUGAUAGGUAAUAAGCAUGGACAAGAUUUUUAAACAAAAGCUAAAAGCCACCAAAUGCUAGACUUGUCCCGUGAUGUUUAGAUUUUAGUCUUAGGGCUAUAAAAAGCAUCCUUCUAAUUGAAAUUACUGUAGGAAAGAUAACUUCUUUGGGGGAAAUCUGAAACUCUCCAGUCUUCAUCCAUUCUCCCUCCUUAAUACAUGAUUUUUCAAAAAGCAGUUUUUUUAAAUGUGACGUUUCUGAGGAAUGCAGAAUUGACUGUCCCAUCAGACCUCAUGAGAAACUGGGACUGGGUCAGGACCCGAGAUCAUUCUCGAUGUUUCCCUAUAAGUUCAUGGCCCCUUGGGCUUCCUUCCCUGCUCUUCUCUGCCUCCUCUCUUUGCCUGGCUCCCCCUGUGAAAACCUGAACAACAUGAACUGUAGGCCCAAGCCUACAUGUCUUCAGAGCCUGCCAUCACCUGGAACCGGUUUUAGAAUCCCUUGGUAUAAAGUCUUGAGACUCUAACUGGCUUCGCCCAGUUUAUAGUUGGAUACUUCCAGCAACGUCUGCUAAAACCUUAACCUCCACAGGGUCACCAAGCCAAAAGACUACAUUUCCAGCUUCCCUUGAAGCUCAGUGUAGGCCUGAGGCUAAAUCCCAAGCUGUGAGACAUAAGCCAAAGUGUUGCUUGAGUCUCCUGAGACGUUCCCUUGGGGUUGGACGUGAUGACCUGUGGGCCAAGAGCGCAAGAGCCACACUCUUGAGGUAGAAGAGUAUGAACCAGAAGAGCUCAGGUGACUGAUGGAAUCCCCGCAGCAGCGCUGGACUGCCCACAUCCAAAGCUUCUUUUACGGGACGGAGAGAUGCGUGCCCAUCUUGUUUAAGCAACUGUUUGGGGGAGUUUCUCUCACUUGCAACUGAACCUAAACCUAACGGAUGGUUUCCUCUGAUCCAAUAAGCUGUGACCAGAGAGGCAGGGCAUGGGGGAUACUGCUCCCCGAGAGUGAGCCCCCGGAUCUGAGCAGAUUUCCCAAGAAAAUGGGUUUGGGCACAGCGGGCAAACCAUUUGGAGUAUUUGCAACACUGGCUGAGGUCCAUUGCCAGACCACUCGGGUCAAGGCAGGGAAAUACUAGGAUACAUACAAAAUUUGAGGGUAGGGUAAAAAUUUUUACAUCAGGGUAAAAAUUGCAAUUCAAGGCUCUGAGUGGUGGCAUCAUGGGUAGCGUGGCUACAGGCCAGGUGGGCAGGUGCCCUGAGCAGAUGGAAGUCAAUUGUUCUGCUAAUAAUUGAAGAAACAUUGGUUACAUUCUUUCAGAGAUCCGGUUAACUCAUUCCCUUUGGCUACUUAGGGCUGUAAUUUAUAGGCAGCAAAGUCACUUAGGAUAAUAAAGCCCCCGGGCCUGGUAGCAAACUGCUGAGAUUCUUCAAGAAGAAAGGGACCACUUAAACAUCUCAAUCGGCUUUUCCGGAGUGAAUGAUCCCCAGAGGAAACAGGUUUCAAAUGUGUCUCCAUCAUUCACACUCUCAAGAAGAAAGAUGAGAGGAACCAAGAAAAAAUACUGAGAGUGCUACAUUCAUUUCAAAAUCUGACAAGUUCGGAGAAUCCUGGCACAGGUUUUUCCCCUACAGAACUGCAACUCUCAGAGGAGAUCCCACCGUUAUUUUCUUCCCUUUCUCUAAAAGCUCUUAGUGGAUUGGGAAAAAUUGGUUCAAAUAUCAAUUGGCUUGAACGCGUCUUUUCAAUAAAAAGAAGAAUAUGUCAUUUUUGAAAAUAGCCUUUCUUCUAUACAACGGUGUCCUACUGGGCUGUGGUCUUUCUGCUUAGCUUCUUCCUGAGUGAAUAUAAGCCUAAAAGUAUGAACAUAACCUCUGCCUUCUGAAGAAGCCCCCAGCUGGCAAGGCCCUUUCCCUCCAAGCUGCCGUGUCCCUCUGGGUCAGAGGCACAGCGGGCCUGAGCUCAGCCACAAAUGUCAGAUGCCUGAAAGCAGAGAUUUUAAGAAGGAAAUUGGUUGUUCUCCAUGUUCAGAAAAACAUUUUAAAAGGUCUGUAAUAGAAAACGGAGCGAGGAGGGGUGGGGUGGGGAGGGAGUGCUCCAUUCUCUGGCCUUGGCACAGGUCACCAAGGAGGACAACAACCUACAGAAACAGGAAAUCUUUGUGGAAAUGAAGACCCUCAAAAUGCGAAAAACAAUGACGACUUAUCCAGAGUUUGCUAGAGCCAGGGAGUCGGCCACCUUGACUCCAAGGCAGGGAGAAGAGUGGGGCAGCUGUAGAAGUAGGAAAAAAAAAAAAAGACAAGGCUUUAGGUAUGCCCUAAGUGGAGGCUGAGUGAGCUAAGUAGAAGGGAGGCAUCCGGGUGAUUGGUUAGGGGUGCGUACGUGCUGUCUCUAGUUGGCCCUAAGUUGAAAAUGGGCCCCAAAUUAGGGAAGCUGUCAGCUAUCAACCAAGUCCUGGCCAUUUGGGGCCAAUUGCUUCAGAAAUGAUUGGUUAGGGACGUCGGGGUGGCUCAGCAGUUAUGCUCCUCCCUUCGGCCCAGGGUGUGAUCCUGGAUUGCCGGGGUGGAGUCCCACCUGGGGCUCCCUGCACGGAGGCUGCUGCUCUCUGAGCCUGUGUCUCUGCCUCUCUCUGUGUGUGUCUCUCAUGAAUAAAUAAAUAAAAUCUUAAAAAAAAAAAAAAAAAAAA
rnacentral:lncRNA from 1 species